AGGUUCCUGUCCUGCUGUCUGGGGGAGAGUUUUGGUAGCCUGCCCGGCCAACCCUAGCCCAGAGUAGUCCCAGGUGUGGGAACAAGGCUGCCCACCAUCGCAUUGGCAUCAACAUAACUGAUAGCUCUCAACAUGCUGCAUCAGCGAAAGCACACAGACAAAUGAGGCUGGCCAUGGAGUCACACCAGCCUCAGCAGGACCUGUACAGAUCAGCUGUGAUCACCAGGGUUGCACAACCUUCCACAAGUGAGAAGUGGACUCUGGACAGCGAGAUAUGCAUUACAAGAUAAAGCUGUCCUGCUAUGCCACAGCAGUUGAAGAGUCUGAGCAUGCCUCAGUGGCCCUGCGCUCCCAGCACACAAAGCCAUCUGCAGCCACC
rnacentral:lncRNA from 1 species